ACGAAAUCAGUAUAGGCACAAGGUCAGUGUCAUCCAGUUGUGCGUGUCGGGCGUGGUGCGACACUGACACCUUUCCGGAAGACCUCCGGCUGCUGUUUUGGGUAUAAAGGCGAGCUCCUGCUAUUGGCGAUCAUCAGUUCCAGAAGAUAGUAGACGCACACCAUCACAAACAGUCGACAUGUAUAAGCUGGUGGCCCUCGUUUUCCUGGUGGUGAUGAUCGCCAUUGCAUCCGCCCAGUACGGCAUCUCAAUUGGCGCCCCUGGGUUCCACUCGCCCUACGCCUACAGCUCCUCCGCCAGGGUGCAGACCAGCCGCGACGCGCUCAUAACGCCCCUCGUCUACUACUGAUUCAAAUAAUCCCAAUAACGUCACAUAAGACACCCAUAUUUCUGCACCGAGGCUCUGGACCAACCUCUGAGCAGUUGGGUACACUGUCUGGUGAUGAUGCUAUCUGGAAUUCGCUGUAAUAAUUGUUAACUGUUUUAAAUAAAUUGUUGUCUUGGUUUUAAUUAACCUGGAUACGUUU